UACGAAGGGGGCUAGCGUUGCUCGGAAUCACUGGGCGUAAAGGGUGCGUAGGCGGGUCUUUAAGUCAGGGGUGAAAUCCUGGAACUCAACUCCAGAACUGCCUUUGAUACUGAAGAUCUUGAGUUCGGGAGAGGUGAGUGGAACUGCGAGUGUAGAGGUGAAAUUCGUAGAUAUUCGCAAGAACACCAGUGGCGAAGGCGGCUCACUGGCCCGAUACUGACGCUGAGGCACGAAAGCGUGGGGAGCAAACAGG
rnacentral:rRNA from 1 species